AUGGCGGCCGCCACCUCCUCCCUCCUCGGCCGCCGCCUCCUCCUCCUCUCCCGUCGCUUCGUCUCUUCUCCUCUCCGCCCCUUGUCAACCACCGGGCCCCCGUCCUCACACUCGGCCGCGGGAUCCGAUGUCGAGCCCGACCCUGAGCCACCCGCCGAUCAGGGUAAUCAGUACCGGAGCCAGCCGAGGCCUCCCAUCACCACCCGCCCCCUCGAGAAUGGCCUCGACCACGGCAUCUACAAGGCUAUAAUGGUGGGAAAGGUGGGUCAAGAGCCUGUGCAGAAGCGGCUGCGGAGUGGGAAGACCGUCGUGCUGUUCUCUCUGGGCACCGGCGGUAUCCGCAACAACCGCCGCCCGUUGGACAACGAGGAGCCGCACCAGUACGCGGAACGCAGCUCCGUGCAGUGGCACCGCGUAUGCAUCUACCCGGACAGGCUGGGUAGCCUCGCGCUGAAGCAUGUCAAGACCGGAUCUGUUCUCUAUUUGGAAGGAAAUAUUGAGACAAAGGUGUUCUCCGAUCCUAUAACUGGGCUCGUUAGACGCAUAAGAGAAAUAGCUGUUCGAGGAAAUGGUCGGUUCCUGUUUCUUGGUAACGAUGGCAAUGGCCCCAAGAUAGGUGAAGUGAAGGGCGUUGGGUACUUCUGA
rnacentral:rRNA from 1 species